rnacentral:rRNA from 1 species
UACGAAGGGGGCGAGCGUUGUUCGGAAUUACUGGGCGUAAAGGGCGCGCAGGCGGCUCUGAAAGUCAGAUGUGAAAGCCCCGGGCUUAACCUGGGAAUUGCAUUUGAUACUCUGGAGCUUGAGUACUGGAGAGGAGACUGGAAUUCAUGGUGUAGCAGUGAAAUGCGUAGAGAUCAUGAGGAAGACCAGUGGCGAAGGCGGGUCUCUGGACAGUUCCUGACACUGAGGCACGAAGGCCAGGGGAGCAAACGGG